UAAAUCAGUUAUGGUUCACUAGAUCGUAUAUUUUACAUGGAUAACUGUGGUAAUUCUAGAGCUAAUACAUGCAACCAGCCCGGCUGCCUUGUGCAGCGGGCGCAGUUAUUAGAUUAAAACCAAUCCGGCCUCGGUCGGUUGAAUGGUGACUCUGAAUAACCGAAGCGGAGCGCUAAGGUCUCGUACCGGCGCCAGAUCUUUCAAGUGUCUGACUUAUCAGCUUGUAGCGAGGUUAUGUUCCUCGCUUGGCUCUCACGGGUGACGGGGGAUCAGGGUUCGAUUCCGGAGAGGGAGCCUGAGAAACGGCUACCACAUCCAAGGAAGGCAGCAGGCGCGCAAAUUACCCACUCCCGGCACGGGGAGGUAGUGACGAAAAAUAACGAUGCGAGAGCGUUUAUGCUUUUCGUAAUCGGAAUGGGUACACUUUAAAUCCUUUAACGAGGAUCUAUUGGAGGGCAAGUCUGGUGCCAGCAGCCGCGGUAAUUCCAGCUCCAAUAGCGUAUAUUAAAGUUGCUGCGGUUAAAAAGCUCGUAGUUGGAUCCGGGCAGUCGACGCGCGGUGCGCCUUACGGCGUUACUGCGUGCUUCGGCGCCACUAUCCGGCCAUGUCUUCCAUGUUCUUUAUUGAGCGUGGUUGGCGACCGGGACGUUUACUUUGAAAAAAUUAGAGUGCUUAAAGCAGGCAUAUGGUCUUGCAUAAUGGUGCAUGGAAUAAUGGAAUAGGACCUCGGUUCUAUUUUGUUGGUUUUCGGAGCUCGAGGUAAUGAUUAAGAGGAACAGACGGGGGCAUU
rnacentral:rRNA from 1 species